rnacentral:rRNA from 1 species
GGCGGACGGGUGAGUAAUGCUUAGGAAUCUGCCUAUUAGUGGGGGACAACAUCUCGAAAGGGAUGCUAAUACCGCAUACGUCCUACGGGAGAAAGCAGGGGAUCACUUGUGACCUUGCGCUAAUAGAUGAGCCUAAGUCGGAUUAGCUAGUUGGUGGGGUAAAGGCCUACCAAGGCGACGAUCUGUAGCGGGUCUGAGAGGAUGAUCCGCCACACUGGGACUGAGACACGGCCCAGACUCCUACGGGAGGCAGCAGUGGGGAAUAUUGGACAAUGGGGGGAACCCUGAUCCAGCCAUGCCGCGUGUGUGAAGAAGGCCUUAUGGUUGUAAAGCACUUUAAGCGAGGAGGAGGCUCUUUUGGUUAAUACCCAAGAUGAGUGGACGUUACUCGCAGAAUAAGCACCGGCUAACUCUGUGCCAGCAGCCGCGGUAAUACAGAGGGUGCAAGCGUUAAUCGGAUUUACUGGGCGUAAAGCGCGCGUAGGCGGCCAAUUAAGUCAAAUGUGAAAUCCCCGAGCUUAACUUGGGAAUUGCAUUCGAUACUGGUUGGCUAGAGUGUGGGAGAGGAUGGUAGAAUUCCAGGUGUAGCGGUGAAAUGCGUAGAGAUCUGGAGGAAUACCGAUGGCGAAGGCAGCCAUCUGGCCUAACACUGACGCUGAGGUGCGAAAGCAUGGGGAGCAAACAGGAUUAGAUACCCUGGUAGUCCAUGCCGUAAACGAUGUCUACUAGCCGUUGGGGCCUUUGAGGCUUUAGUGGCGCAGCUAACGCGAUAAGUAGACCGCCUGGGGAGUACGGUCGCAAGACUAAAACUCAAAUGAAUUGACGGGGGCCCGCACAAGCGGUGGAGCAUGUGGUUUAAUUCGAUGCAACGCGAAGAACCUUACCUGGCCUUGACAUAGUAGAAACUUUCCAGAGAUGGAUUGGUGCCUUCGGGAAUCUACAUACAGGUGCUGCAUGGCUGUCGUCAGCUCGUGUCGUGAGAUGUUGGGUUAAGUCCCGCAACGAGCGCAACCCUUUUCCUUACUUGCCAGCAUUUCGGAUGGGAACUUUAAGGAUACUGCCAGUGACAAACUGGAGGAAGGCGGGGACGACGUCAAGUCAUCAUGGCCCUUACGGCCAGGGCUACACACGUGCUACAAUGGUCGGUACAAAGGGUUGCUACCUAGCGAUAGGAUGCUAAUCUCAAAAAGCCGAUCGUAGUCCGGAUUGGAGUCUGCAACUCGACUCCAUGAAGUCGGAAUCGCUAGUAAUCG